rnacentral:rRNA from 1 species
UACAGAGGGGGCAAGCGUUAUUCGGAAUUAUUGGGCGUAAAGGGCGCGUAGGCGGCUUGGCAAGUGGAAGGUGAAAUCCCUCGGCUCAACCGAGGAACUGCCCUCCAAACUGCUUUGCUUGAGGCCGGGAGAGGUAAGUGGAAUUCCCAGUGUAGCGGUGAAAUGCGUAGAUAUUGGGAGGAACACCAGUGGCGAAGGCGACUUACUGGACGAUUGUUGACGCUGAGGUGCGAAAAGCGUGGGGAGCAAACAGG